rnacentral:rRNA from 1 species
UGGUGGAGUGAUUUGUCUGGUUAAUUCCGUUAACGAACGGGACCUCAGCCUGCUAAAUAGUAUGCGCUUUCUUGCGAAAGCGUAAGACUUCUUAGAGGGACAUUUCGGUUUUACCGGAAGGAAGUUUGAGGCAAUAACA